rnacentral:lncRNA from 1 species
CCUCUGUCUGCCUAUGUGUCCAGGAAGGGGCCUGGGACUGGCUCUCGGGGCCUAGCUCCUCCUGCCCUCUGGGAAAUGUGCAGAAUGUCUAAGCCAGCAAGCAGGCAUGGGAAGGGAGUGGCCGGCCGGAUGCAGGGCUCCAUGGAACAAGUUCCCCAGUGCCAGGGCAGGACAGCAGGGCCUGGAGAGCCAUCAUCAGCAGGCUCCAUCCUUCCACCUGUGAACUGUGACCUGAGAGGAGCCACCUCCUGGGAGGCCCACGAGGGGUCCUGACCAGCAGCCUGGCACCUGCUGGGGCCACGCAGAGACCCCAUGGCAGCCUGCGGGAAGGGCAGUUAUCAUCCCAUUGACAGAGCAGUGACUGAGGCCAAGCGGGACGGAGUCGCUUCCCUGGAGUCAUGGAGGAUUCGAGGGCCCGGCAUGCCCAGUGGGAAUGGCGGGAUUUCGGGCACGGCACGUCCAGAGGCAACGGUGUGAGGCCCCCUCAUUUCUGGAGCCCUGCUGGCGCCCAGCCGGGAGCCUGGGAUGGGCCCCAGAGGAAGGCGGCUGGGACUCCUGCUCCACCCCCACCUCCCCGAGCCCAUCCCAGCUGCUUCUGAGAGCGUCGGGCUGGACGUGCCCGCACGGCAGAAACAGGCCCAGAGACGAGGCUGUGUUUUGCUUGAAAGCCUCUGCGGAGUGAUGGAAUCCACAUUCCUGCCCCAGGUGCUCCUCGACCCUCCGUGAGGCCACGUCCUGAUAAACCCGUGGUAGGUUAGAAAUACCGACAGCUGAAAUGCUCUAAUACACUUAACCCACGGAACAUCACAGCUGAGCCUUCUUGCCUUAUACACACUCAGCACACUUCCAUUAGCCUACAGCUGGGCGAAGUCAUCCCCCACGAAGCCUCCUUUAUAAUAAUGCAUCAAAUGCCUCACGUAAUUUGUCCAAUGCUAUAAGAAGGAGAAAAACAGAUUGGUUGUGUGGGCACUGGAAGUACGGUUUCUACCGAACAAUUGCAAAUCAGAAGCCGGGAACCGUAGAGCACAGAACACCCGUCAUGUCCACCCGCCAUUUCCAAGCCCCGUGCUGGGUACAGGCGCUCCUUGGUGCGUGGAACAGACAGCCCUGUGCCCAGGGAGCUCGCAGCCUAGGACGGGACAACUGGCAUCCCAGGAGGGUGUAGGGCUGUGAGUCUCACCGGGGAGAUUCAGCCCCGGGACAUGGGGCUACUCAGAAGAUAUUUUUGGUUGUCACGACUGGAGGGCAAGUGCUUCUGGCCUCUUGGGAGUGGGGGCCAAGCGGCCCCACCUCAGGUCAGUGUCCAGCCAGACUGUCUGACCAGCGCCUGUUGAGGGGCUCUGAAGGGCCAUGGCCCGGAUGAAGGGGCUCCAGGGGCAGGGUGGCCAGGGAAGGCCUCUCUGAGCAGGGGACUUUCACAGAGUGAGCGGAAUUGAGAUGGCCCGGUUCCUCUGCAGGUCCCCACAGCCUGGGAAGAGGAGAAUCUGAGAGCACGGCCGCCUGGGGGCAGGCCGAGGCAGGCGGAUCCUGAGGGAGCAGCCGCCUGGUGCCAGGCCUGGGGAAUUCCAGGAGGCAGAGGCCUCAAAAGCCCUCCUCCAGGCUCCGAGUUCCCAGCAGCCCCUGCCACAUUCCUCCACCUGGGUGGGCAGGGGUGCAGGGGCUCAGUGCAUUCCUGGUGGAGAUAGGGAGGCCAGCCUGCGGCCUGCGCCAGCCUCCUGCGGGGCCUGGGGAGCCCUGUCCAGGCUCUGCCGAGCUCAGCAUAUUGGAGCUGAGCCAGUCGGCCUUUGCUGGAACACUCAGGCGGAGGUCGCCUUUCGCCUUUCUGUGUGGGGAGAAGCCACUUGCAGAUAAGGCAGGGAUUCACCAGCUCCGGGGGGCUGGCAGGACAUGGCCACACUUCACCUGCAACCAAGCCUCCCCAUCUGUAAAAUACAGAUAACAAGGGGGCCAGGCGGUGGCUCACACCUGUAAUCCCAGCACUUUGAGAGGAUGAGGCCUGUGGAUCACUUGAGGUCAGGAAUUCGAGACCAGCCUGGCCAACAUAGUGAAACCUUGUCUCUACUAAAAAUACAAAAAUUAGCUGGGCGUGGUGGCGAGCACCUGUAAUCCCAGCUACUCAGGAAGCUGAGGCAGGAGAAUCGCUUGAACCCGAGAUGCAGAGGUUACAGUGAGCCGAGAUCGCGCCACUGCACUCCAGCCUGGGCGACGAGCAAAACUCCAUCUCAAAAAACAAAAAAAAACAAGAGCAGGUCCCUCGCAGGAGAUGGGAGCCAGCUCCGCGCCCGGCCUGAUGUCGGCUGCACGGGCUGCCUGGCUCUCCUGCACAGAGGUGGGAGGGAGGCACGGGGGGGCCCAGGUCAAGAAAACACAACCCCCACAUGUUCAGGGGGCUGGAGGUGGGGGCUGCGCCUCUGACCUGAAGCUGCCCAGCAAGCCCUUUGUGGAGCCAGGAGCAGGCAGUGGGCAACUGGGCCGACAGGCCCUACCCUGGCCGCCAGGAGGCUCCGUGGCAGCUGCUCUCUUGCACGCCAUCCCCACUGCCACUCCCGGGUUCUGAGAGAGAGCCCCAUGGGAGGCCACGCACAGACCCCUGACCUGGCUGCCGGGGGUGGUCCAGAUCCCUUGCGAGAGGAAACGUGGGCCCCCAGUGGACCCCAGCACCAUCUGUGGUCAGCGGGAGCCUUCCAAGUCUCCGUGUGUUUACAUUCCCCCAGGAAAUAGCUCCCCAGAAGAGCUGCAAAUAUUUUCUUAAUGUUGGAACUUGUGGCAAACAGAGGCCUGGAGUGGGCCCACCCACACUUUGCCCCUCCACACAUCGGGGGCCCAGUGGGAUCCUGGGGUUACCUCCUCACCUGGCCCACCCCCUCCCCCUCCCCCUCCUGGCAGGGGACAGGCACAUGGGGGCCCAGCUGGGGCAUCUUCCUGCCGGAGCUGGGGCAGCCAGCCCAGGGGAUUCAGUGGCACUGCCAUCCUCCCACCUUUCAGCCUUCCUUUCGUGAAACUGGGCUGGCAAUAGGUGGAGGUGGCUGAGGUGUUGCUUGGCGGUUUGAAUCAAUGAAGACCCUAGGGGACGGGGGUCAGGCCCUGGACCUGCCUAGUAACUCAGGCUCCUGGCAGACCGGGCUGAAGACAGAGGCAGCUGCGGGGCUGUCUCUCCCGCCCCAGGCUGAGUCAGUGUGUAGGGCUGGGUGUCCUGGGUAUGUGAUGGCCCUAAACACAGGCCCCCACCUCUCUGUGCAUGAGCACAGGUCCAGCUGGUGUUGGCAGGCUGUGUGGGUGGCCCAUAAGCACCAAGAAGUACCCUGCUUCUACUGACCUCCACCUGAAGACUCCCAGGCACCUGCCCGCCUGAACUGGCUCUGCAGGCUCACUCAGCAUCCACGUGCUCCUCCCUCUCCCCCUCCACACUGGCGAGGGGCCAGUGGCCAUGGCACAUCCCAGGCCUCCGGUCCCUGGUCCCUGGGCAGCCCCUCCAAGAGCCUGCCUGUACAGAGUGCCGCUCCUGUCCACUGAUGUCUACUGUGUGGAUGGACCACGUUUCUCUCCCCAGUCGACCCUGGAUGGCCGUUCGGGCUGUUUCUGCCUGAUGGCUCUGGUGCCUGGCGCUGCCGUGCGUGUUUACCCACGAGUGUCUGUGCAGAGACGUGUUUACGCUUCUCUCUGCAGCUACCAGGUGUGGAGCUGCUGGGCCGUGUGCAACUGUGUUCAGUCCUUUGAGGAACCACCAGCUGGUGUCCUAGCAGCUCCCACACUGGACACCACACUGGUCCCCGCAGGAUCCUGCCUGUAGUUGUUAUUGUCUUAUUUCCUGAUUCUGUUGGUGGCUAUAGAGUGAGGAUCACGGUGUGGGCCUCAGGCGGGCAUAAAAAGAGGCUGGAGUCUGGGCACUGGGCCCUUGCCUGCCACGCCUGGUGUGGGAGGAUGUGGGUCCCGGGGCAGUGGGAAGGUGACGGGAGAGGGGCGAUCGGUCAUUCAGCCACCAUCGUCCAGCAGCCCAGCGCUGGGCUCGGACGCAGCAGUGAGCACACGGAGCUGCCUCUGCCUUAUGUGCUUUGUCUGGGGGGCUGAUGUGGGUCAGGAGAUCUCAUCCUGGACGCCCAAGGACACGCUGCACUGUCCUCUGUGAGCCGGGGGCAGCAACAUGCCUCCCGGGCAGAGGGCGCAAGGACAGAGGGCCCAUCCCUGUUGUGGAUGGCACUUUCAGUGUGGAAGUGCGCGGCCUGGGAGCCGUCACUCCUGGGAUCCUGGUUCACUGCAGAAUCUGGACCAGCUCCUGGGCAGGAACCGUGGCCCGUUGUGUCCCAGUGAUGGCACCAGCCCCCAGACUAAGCCAAGCCCCACGUUCGAUCCAGUCAAAUAAAGUGACCGAGGCGCA